GAUGAACGCUGGCGGCGUGCCUAAUACAUGCAAGUCGAGCGAAGCGGGGACGGUGGAGUAACACGUGGAUAACCUCCUUUAAGACUGGGAUAACUUCGGCAAACCGUAGCUAAACCGGCUACUUAUAGAUGGAUCCGCGCUGCAUUAGCUAGUUGGUAAGGUAACGGCUUACCACGGCAACGUUGCAUAGCCGACCUGAGGGGGUGAUCGGACAAACUGGAACUGAGAGACGGUCCAGACUCCUACGGGAGGCAGCAGUAGGGAAUCUUCCGCAAUGGGCGAAAGUCUGACGGAUCAACGCCGCGUGAGUGAGGAAGGUCUUCGGAUCGUAAAACUCUGUUAUUAGGGAAGCGGUACCUAAUCAGAAAGCCACGGCUAACUACGUGCCAGCAGCCGCGGUAAUAC
rnacentral:rRNA from 1 species